rnacentral:rRNA from 1 species
UACGUAGGUGGCGAGCGUUGUCCGGAUUUACUGGGCGUAAAGGGCGUGCAGGCGGUCUGUUAAGUGCAGGGUGAAAGCUCCCGGCUCAACUGGGAGAGGUCCUUGCAUACUGGCGGACUUGAGGGGGGUAGAGGAAAGUGGAAUUCCCGGUGUAGUGGUGAUAUGCGUAGAUAUCGGGAAGAACACCGGUGGCGAAGGCGGCUCUCUGGACCGAUACUGACGCUGAGGCGCGAAAGCGUGGGGAGCAAACAGG